UCGGAUAUGGUGUAAUGGCUAACAUUGCCGCCUCUCAAUUGAAGUUCUAUUCACGCGGCAGCUCGGGGUUCGAUUCCCCGUAUCCGAA